CUUUCCUGUUCAAUCAACAGCAACAGGCUCACAAUCAAGAUUCUAUUAUGCAUUUUUCAAGGGCUUUUUCUUGAAGAUUACAUGUCUUGGCAGGAGCUUUCUCCGUUUGCCAGGUCUCACAGACUAAUGGCCUGGGAUUUCGGCUGCAAUGAGAAGAUGUAGAGCUCUUGGAAGUGGCAGCAAGAGUCCCUAUGGUAGGAACACGAGUGAGGCUUCAUACCCUGGCAAUGUAUCACAUUGGAUGACGUUUCACUGUGAUGGUGCUCCCAGGAGUCAUUCAUUCAUCACCAUGGUCUGUGACAUGCGUUCACUUUGCUACAUUUCUGUUGCCGCAGCCUUUCCUUGUUAUACAAGACAUUAGGUUUUCUGAGAAGCAGCUCCUGGCUUGCUUGUUUGCCCAAAUUCUUCACAUGAUGUAUCACACUGCAAACAGGGCAUCUGAAGGUACAGUCAGGCUGAGCAGGGAUGGGGACUCCUGCUCCUCUAAGCUCUUGAGCCUGCCUCAGACCCGAGCAUGGAUUUGUGACCAGGCAGCACGACACUAGCCAAGCCAGGCAGGAAUUCAAGUUCCACUGCACUGUGUAGGCACAUCAAUUUAGAUGUGAGAGUACUGGCAUUUAUAUGACCUGUAUGCUAGACUACAUCAAUAAAAAUUUUAUAUCUAUCCCUGUUAAUUUGGUA
rnacentral:lncRNA from 1 species